rnacentral:tRNA from 1 species
UCCCCUGUAGCUCAGCGGUAGAGCAGGUCCCUGUUAAGGACAAUGUCGGCGGUUCGAAUCCACCCGGGGGAGCCA